GAAAGCCUGAUGCAGCGACGCCGCGUGGAGGAUGAAGGCCUUCGGGUUGUAAACUCCUUUUGUAGGGGAAAAUAGUGAUGGUACCCUAUGAAUAAGCCACGGCUAACUCUGUGCCAGCAGCCGCGGUAAGACAGAGGUGGCAAGCGUUGUUCGGAAUUACUGGGCUUAAAGGGCGCGUAGGCGGUGGGGCAAGUCUGAGGUGGAAUGCCACAGCCCAACUGUGGCACUGCCUUGGAAACUGCUUCACUUGAGUUAGACAGGGGAAGGCGGAAUUCCUGGUGUAGCGGUGAAAUGCGUAGAUAUCAGGAGGAAGGCCAGUGGUGAAGACGGCCUUCUGGGUCUUAACUGACGUUGAGGCGCGAAAGCGUGGGGAGCAAACAGGAUUGGAUACCCUGGUAGUCCACGCCCUAAACGGUGGGCACUAGGUGUGGGAUUCGUAAGGGUUCCGUGCCGAAGGGAAACCAUUAAGUGCCCCG
rnacentral:rRNA from 1 species